AUGGAGGACUCACCCUCCACGCUGCCGCCCAGCACAGAAGCUACUGCAGCUUUCACCUCAAUUCCAGAGGCUCCGAGCGCAGAGGAACAGCUAGACAAAAAUCAAAUUAGAAAGGCAGUGAAAGCUCUCUUGGCACAUUGCAAGUCCAGGAAAAACAAUAAUGGAUACCUUUUGAAUGAGAAUGAAAACUUAUUUUGAAUGGUGAUAUUAUGGAAAAUUCCAAGUAAAGAACUGAGGGUCAGAUUGCCCUUGCCUCAUGGUAUUUCAUCAGAUUUAGAAGAAAUCUGUUUAUUUACCAAGGAUGAACUCAAUAAAACUACUGAACAGACAGAAUGUUUCUAUAGAAAGCUUUUGAACAAGCAUGGCAUUAAAACCAUAUCUCGGAUUAUACCACUCCAAACUUUAAAAAAGGAAUAUAAACCCUAUGAAGCCAAGUUCCGCCUUAUGAGUAGUUUUGACUUUUUCCUUACUGAUGCCAGAAUUCGGAGGCUUUUACCCACACACAUUGGGAGACAUUUCUAUCAAAGAAAGAAAGUUCCAGUGUCUGUGAAUCUUCUAACCAAGAAUUUAUCAACAGAGAUCAAUGAAUCUAUAGGUGGAACAGUCUUAAACAUCUCUAAAAGUGGUUCUUGCAACACUACACGCAUCGGUCACACUGCAAUGCAGAUUGAGCAUAUCAUUGAAAACAUCAUUACUGUCACCAAAGGGCUUUCAGAGAAAUUGCCAGAGAAAUGGAAGAGUGUGAAACUCAUGUUUGUGAAAACUGAGAGAUCGGUUGCCCUCCCCAUCUUUUCUUCAUUUGUCACCAGUUGGGAUGAAACUACCAAACAUUAUCUUCCUAAGAAGAAAAAGGUGACAAAGAAAAGUCCACAACAAAGACGUCUUGAAAAACAGAAAUGGAAGAAGAAAAACAGAAAGAUACAGCAACAGCCUUCAUCAGUCUUAACAAAAGGUGACGUAGCACCUAAAAGCGGUGCUCCAGUGAAGAAACCAGGAACCCAGAAGAAGACCCCAGAACAUGGGAAGAAAAAAUGUGGCAGAGUAAAAGCCCAACUUAAAUUGACAAACGACUCUGAAGAUGAAAUUCCACAGCUGAUACCAAUAGGAACAGCUCCAGCUAUAGAAAAUGUAGAGACUCAAAAACAUGCCACAGGGAAGAAGUCUUCAAAAAAGAGUCCUGGUCCCACUACACCUCAUGGAAAGAAGAGAAAGGCCUUACCAGCUUCAGAUGCCGUGAAAGCUGCAGAGCCAGAGACCCCAGGUGAAGCGCCAGGAAAGAAGCCAAAAAUGAGAGAAGAGGCAGAGAAGGAAAGAAAUCCUUUACUGACAAAAAAAGAUCAGACUCCAAAAAAGCCAGAGGCCAAGGUCUUUGCUACUUCUACUAA